ensembl:lncRNA
GUGGGGUUCGGGGGUGCGCGUAGACCCAGAGUUGGGGUGUACAGAGUAUUCUCCUGCAGAAGCUGGCAGAUUGUGGCUUGGACAGAUACAUUCUUCGCUGGGUUGUUGCAGCAGUGGAACUGGCAAUGUCUCGACCCAGAUGCCAUGGGUGAUGGCAACAGGAACAAUCAAGGAUGAAGUAAAUACACUUUCAAAGCUUGCAACUAAAUCAGGAGAUCGAUUUGCAAGAUCUUUGUGCAUGAGAUGAGUCCCUGAUCCAGCUUCAGCAGUUCUGGGUCCGCAGCAGCUCCAGCAGCACCACGAGGAAGCUCAGCAGCCUUAAAACACAGUGGAGCACAUGGGGUUUGGCACAGGAUCCCCCCAAAAAGGUGCAGACUCACGGUGCAGCUUCCGAGCCCCAGCAAUUUUUAGUGUUAAACGUGAAAAAAGCAAGAGAGUAAGAUGUCCUUUGAAACAAAAGUAGAUUUUUGAACAUCAAAACCAGCUUAGAAAUUAAAAUCUUAGCUGCUUGCAAACCUGUUCGUAAUUAACAAUGAAAGGGCUUCCAGGGAGGAAUUCAAAUAGUGGAUGCUCUCUGUCCCAAAUGAUUCUUUCUGGCUAAUUUUCCUUCCUCACACCCUGAAAUACCCAAGGUGUGUGCAUGAGAAAUGUGCAUAAUAAUGAAGCUGACAAGAACAAAGACACGGCGAGGCAAAGAAAAGGCUGCAAUUUGCAAGUUUAAUUUCACGCUCAGCCAGGAUUUGAUCAAGGAGAGGAGGGAUGGGCUGAGGUUUGGGGGUACAUACAUAUUCAUGAUAUGUAUUUGUAAUAUAUUGAGUACAAGGCAGGGGAACAGAGGAUAAUCCCACGUUGCCUAUGUGCAGGAUUCCAUCCCCCAAAAGCUGCCCAGAUUGUCCAUUUUGGAGUGAUUUUAGCCCAAACAUCAGCCAUACCCACGUGGGGGUAACUUACAUCCUGCAGAUACCGCACCGCAGGGCCUUUGGACAUACGGAAAAUAGCUGUGGCUCCUCAAAGCUCCCAUCUAUGCAAGGAGCAUCCCAACAGCAAAAAGCAAAUGAUGGAGGACAGGAAGAGGGUUUGGAGGCUUUGAACCUCAGCAGAGCAAUGAGCUGGUCCUUGGAUACAAGUGAUGUCUGACUUUUUGCUGCAUCAGAGACAACCUCAGCCCUGCUCACUUAGGAGGAACAGAGCAGACAGACCUUGGAUGUGGCCGUCCUGGGCCUGGGGACAGUGAGUCACUCACCGCCGACUGAGCGCAGAUGUUUGGGGUCUGAGCACGUGGCAGGAGGCUGCUUUAGACAGCUCAGCAGUUUGGGUUUUUUUUUUUGCAAAACACAGCGGUCAUUCAUAAGUGCAGAGCGCAGUGAUGGACUCCAGAUGCAGCCACACACACAAAAAACACCCAGCGGGAUGCUAGCAGUGUGGAGAAGGAAUAUUUUCUUACAGAGGAAAGUCACAAGGCUUUUCUUUUCCUCAGCAACACCUCUGCAAAAUCACUUUCAGCGUGGCUUUCAGUCAGUUCAUGAUUUGAAAUAAUAAUUUUUAUCUCUAAAGCCAUUCCUGAUUGAUUUAUUUUUUCUCUUGACUCUGGAAACCACAGACUGAGUUUAUGCAUGAGAGAGCAAGCAGAAUGGAGACCUGGGUAGUGCCCAAGUGCAGUGCAGCACUGCAGGAUGGGGUCACAGUGUCCCAGGUGGUGACACUUGGGUCAAUCCCAAAUGCAGAUCUUCAGAAGAUAUCAUAGAAUCCUUAGAGUUGGAAGGGACCUUUGAAGGGCAUCGUGCUGGUGAAGAACAAAAGAGGUCUGUCUGGGCCAUUAUGUACUGGACCUGCUUGCAUGCAAGGCACGCCUGCUGUUAGGAUGUGGAUGGACACACAGCAGUGGGAUUGGGAUGAUCUGAAGGGAAAUAAAGAGCUGGAAGGGAAUAACCUCAUCCUGUUGCUCACAGAGCAGCUGAUUUGGGGAAGCAGAGCUGGUGCACCACAUUUCCAGCCUCACCCACACAUGUUUGGAACCCAUCCUGCACUGCACAGAAGAGCUUUUCCAAGAAAAGCCCUUCCCAAAAGCAGCUCCUCCAUCUCAGCAUCCUCCUCCUCCUCCUCUUCCUCCAAGGCAGCUGCCAGCAAGGAAAGAAGCAUGGCAACUGCAGAAAUCACCAUGAAGCUCGGCUGGGGCUGCUGCUUUUGGCUUAUGCAUCCCAGCUGUCCCAAGUGCAUGAUGCACAAGAUGCCAUAUUCGCACCGCUACCACCUCGCAGUCCUCCCAUCACCAUCUGCUUAGAGCUGGGCCCCCUGGCAGCUGCCUGGUGGGAAGUCAAAAGGAACCGUCGGCUUUUUAAGGGCUUUUGCAGAAUGGGAGACACCUACUUGCUCCAGAUAUCCUUGCCACCUGCUUAGGAACGGUCCUACAAGAAAGCAGGAGAUCCCCACUUACAAAACCAUAAAACCUGAUGAUGAACCCAAAAAUCAGCCAUUCUCCUGUGCUUUCACAGCAGCCUGAUGGUCCAUGGAACAGAUUCAGGGGUGGUCUGCAGCAUGGAGCCCCUCAUUCUCACCUGGGGACAUGGGCAUAAGCCCCGUCUGCCCAAACUAAAGCAACCCAACCUAAUUCAACCCAACACAAGCUGCCCCGACAAAAGGUGGCAGGUAGCCUCAGGGCAGUUAUUUGAGCUCAUGCAAGCACACUUCUCUAGCAGCUUUUCUUAUUAUUUAACCUUUAGCCUAUGGUCUAAUUUGCUCUGUGCUCAAAUCGAGCCCAAAGUAGGGCAGGUGUCAUCAGAAACCCAAGACAACCAUGACCCUCUGCGCUAUCUGCUUUUUUCUGGAGACUGUUCCUAUAAGGUUCCCACAAGGUCCCUUCUAACACAUCCUUUACUGUUUAGGGUUUGCCCUGCCCUGUUAAUCAUCUCUUUUUUUCUUUUUUCUUUUCCCCAAAAGGAGUUCUGCUUUCUAAAAGCACAUGGGAAGGAGGUUUCAGACUUUCCACUGAAACUGGCUUUUUCCUCCUCCCGUGCUUCCCUAAAACUGUAAUUCAAACAACUUUAACUGUACAUUAUUUUCUUUCUGAAUUGCCCCAAUGGAUAAUUUAUCCUCUUUUAGUGUAGCUGUGGGGAGUACAAUCUUAUCUUUUAGCUCCAGCAACGCUGACAAUUUCCUAUCUUCUGAUGCCUUCUGCUCUUCACUACGUUGGGGCUUUGUUACAUAGUUGAUUAAAGCAAAAUUGCUUUUUGCUGCAAUUUUACCGCAAUCUAACCCAGAAAUGCCCAAAGAAUCAUAGUCAUCUUUCACAAUGCUCAUCUGUUAGCUGCUAUAAAAGUCCUCCCUGCUCAGUCUGGAGUGCCUCUAAUUCUGUACCAGCCAUAAUAUUUGUCAUCAAUUAAAUCUCCUCUAUUGACACUCCUCUGAGCUUCUGUAGUUGAGAUACUGAAGAUAUCCAGCCAAACCCACGGUCACUCACUGCCAUCCCCUAUUCUUCAUUUUCUCUUUUUAAUACAAAAAUCCUUCAGCAGAAAUUGCUUUU